rnacentral:rRNA from 1 species
CAGUCGCCGCGGUAAUACGAAGGGUGCAAGCGUUAAUCGGAAUUACUGGGCGUAAAGCGUGCGUAGGCGGUGAGUUAAGUCUGCUGUGAAAUCCCCGGGCUCAACCUGGGAAUGGCAGUGGAUACUGGCUCGCUAGAGUGUGUCAGAGGAUGGUGGAAUUCCCGGUGUUGCGGUGAAAUGCGUAGAGAUCGGGAGGAACAUCAGUGGCGAAGGCGGCCAUCUGGGACAACACUGACGCUGAGGCACGAAAGCGUGGGGAGCAAACAGGAUUAGAUACCCCGGUAGUCCCUGUCUCUUAUAA